rnacentral:rRNA from 1 species
UACGGGGGGGGCAAGCGUUGUUCGGAAUUACUGGGCGUAAAGGGCCAGUAGGCGGCCAACUAAGUCGGACGUGAAAUCCCCAGGCUCAACCUGGGAACUGCGUCCGAUACUGGAUGGCUUGAAUUCGGGAGAGGGAUGCAGAAUUCCAGGUGUAGCGGUGAAAUGCGUAGAUAUCUGGAGGAACACCGGUGGCGAAGGCGGCAUCCUGGACCAACACUGACGCUGAGUGAGCGAAAGCCAGGGGAGCAAACGGG